GUCCCACUGAAACCGAGAAAGAGAGUCAGCUACCACGUUGUGAACACCCGGGACAUGACAAGCUCUAACCCAAACAUUGAACUUUAAGGAAAGAAGUACCAACCGUCGCAGUAGCGCAAGAACUGGAGGGGAACUGGAGGUUGAACGGUUUAUCACAUGGACAACACUCAUGUUGUCCGUGUGAAAAACUACAGUCCUGUUGGCCAGAG